AUUUUUCAUGAUUAUUUCACGACGAAGAUCAUCACAUCAAUGAAUCAAAUAAUACGGACAUGCCUUUGGUAUUAGCAGGGUGCAGCCUGCAGGCAACAUAUGCAACAAUACUUUCAUCUGUGAAUACCCACUUGCUAAGCCCACCAUGAACUACAAAGGCCGAGUAAUAUGUAAGGACACCAAUGAACAGACUUUUCCAAUCAUCAUACAUCAUAUACAUGGGUGGUCAAACUCAUUGGAUGGUUUAUCAACAAUCCCAUUCUCACGAACAGCCUUGCCC